CCAACACAACCACCGACUGAAGGGAAUCAUCAAAAAGACAUCGCUCGCGGCGCGGCGGAACAAAGGAGAAUGCCUGGACCAGAAAAAGCCAGUCUCAAGAUCAGGGAAAAGUGGAAGCAGGCCGUCGAUGUGGCCACUAUACAAAGUCGGGCGAAAACAUUUACCGACACAUGGACAGACGCGGACGAAGAUUCGCUCACCUGGCGAUCCUUAAAAGAUGUCAGCGUGGCCGGGGUGGACGCUGCGAUGGACAAAAAGUCACCAAAGCUCAGAAGAGUCCUAUGGGCUGUUGUUCUCGUCAUUUGUCUCUCUCUCAUGCUUGCCCAGGUUAAUUGCGUGAAACGAAUACAGAACUCUCUUUCCUUUUAUCAAAAUUACUUUAUCCGAAAUGAUUUUGGCGUUGAUCAUGGCCUUGAAUUGAGUUGUAUGCUAACCAAACGAAUUGUUCAAUUUAUGAGUAACAGUGCAUGGACCGCGUGAUGCGCUACAUCGCGGAGCCGGUCAACAUAAACGUGCGGAUCACUCAGAACACGUCUCUCGAGUUCCCCUCAGUCACCGUUUGCCAUAAAUCCCCUUACAACAUAACGAAAGCGCUGGAGUUAUUGAUCAAAGCUAAGUUGCUACCCAAAAAUGCAACAGGGAAAAUGGUGAAAAUCCCUCAGCUGGCAGGGUUGAACGGCAUGACCUCCACCAACAUCUGGACCAACUUAGCAUUAGAUGCGAAUGCAUUCAUUCCAGAGUGUUGGUUUGGACGAGGAAUCACUUGCGAUGUGGUUGGUAAAUGGAGUUUGACGUUCACGACCAUCGGGCCUUGCUACACUUACCAGAUGGGUAUCAAUUUUCCGAUUUUAUCUGCCAAAAAGUUUUGCAAAAUUAAAUUAUAUACCACCCGUAGAUGACGCGCGAACGAACCUCACUAACUCAUUUAACAACUUGU